AUUGAACGCUGGCGGCAGGCUUAACACAUGCAAGUCGAGCGGAGCGAGGGUGCUUGCACCUUAGCUUAGCGGCGGACGGGUGAGUAAUGCUUAGGAAUCUGCCUAUUAGUGGGGGACAACAUUCCGAAAGGGAUGCUAAUACCGCAUACGCCCUACGGGGGAAAGCAGGGGAUCUUCGGACCUUGCGCUAAUAGAUGAGCCUAAGUCGGAUUAGCUAGUUGGUGGGGUAAAGGCCUACCAAGGCGACGAUCUGUAGCGGGUCUGAGAGGACGAUCCGCCACACUGAGACUGAGACACGGCCCAGACUCCUACGGGAGGCAGCAGUGGGGAAUAUUGGGCAAUGGGGGGAACCCUGAUCCAGCCAUGCCGCGUGUGUGAAGAAGGCCUUUUGGUUGUAAAGCACUUUAAGCGAGGAGGAGGCGCUCUAGGCUAAUACCCUAGAUGCGUGGACGUUACUCGCAGAAUAAGCACCGGCUAACUCUGUGCCAGCCGCCGCAGUAAUAC
rnacentral:rRNA from 1 species